rnacentral:tRNA from 1 species
GGCUCCUUAGUCUAAAGGCUAUGACGCCGGCCUCUCAAGCCGGAGAUGUUGGGUUCAAGUCCCACAGGAGCUA